UACGUAGGGUGCAAGCGUUAAUCGGAAUUACUGGGCGUAAAGGGCGUGCAGGCGGUCUGUUAAGUGCAGGGUGAAAGCUCCCGGCUCAACUGGGAGAGGUCCUUGCAUACUGGCGGACUUGAGGGGGGUAGAGGAAAGUGGAAUUCCCGGUGUAGUGGUGAUAUGCGUAGAUAUCGGGAGGAACACCUGUGGCGAAGGCGGCUUUCUGGGCCCUACCUGACGCUGAGGCGCGAAAGCUAGGGGAGCAAACAGG
rnacentral:rRNA from 1 species